rnacentral:lncRNA from 1 species
GCAGAGAAUGCAGCUGGAAGCUUUCCCAGUCUGCAGAGUUUUCAAAGUGAGGAAAACCCACUGGUGCUUCAGUCCUAAUUGGAGCUUAAGUUCUGAUGGACAAAGAUAGACAAUGAACAAAUGAAGAGGGACUUGAAUCCACAAGCAGAUGUUAGACUUCAACACCAGGAAGAAACUAAGGUAAGAUGCUGAUGUGGGAAGCAGGCUGGGGGCUAGCUUGCUGGGAAAAAUGUCUGAGUUGGGCUUCCAUAGGAGACUGUUUGGGUGGAGAAAGUCCCCAGAUUGGUCUUGAUUGUCAAUGUGAAGCUC